CAUGUGACCACCAGAGCACCACCGAGCUUAUAAGGUCUGCGUCUGCUGGAUAGACUGUAGAUGGAGUCUUCCAUGUUGCAGGCUGUGUCACACCUGUACUGUUUUCCACAUGAGAGGAGAACUCCAGAAACGGUGCUCUGUACACAUUCUUUGUGAAACUCGUUUGAGCUUUAAUCUAAUUUGGUUAAUUUAGUUAAAACGUUCAUCUGCACAGACGACUCGAACACUCACAUAAUAGUUGUCGUUGAUCUGAACCAUUGGAGCAUUCACACAGGCACCCAGGCAUUCCACUUCUAUUACAGUGAACAUCUUGUCUGGAGUAGUCUCCCCAACUUUGAUACCUGUGGAGAACCAAAUGGAGAGACGCUUCAUAUUCAGCUAGUCUCAUCUGACACUCUACAGAUUGUCUUACUAAAACAACAAAUAUUUUUAACUCGAGCACUAAAGCCUGACGUGCCACAGCUGUUAGCCACAUAUACGAGUUAAAAGGAAGAGUAAAACUUCACUAUGGUUGACUUAAAGAACAAACGUUGUCCUCUAUUAAAUGUAACGUAGGCUCAAGUGUGUUGACAGUUUCCUUGCUUGAUUUCAAUCUUGUUUGAUGCUACAGCUUGAUAUUGUUUGAAUACCAAUGGCAACUGUAUAUUUAUACAUUUGUUCUCAGUCUCUGUUUAUCUCAAACAUACACAAUAAAAAAAAGUUUGUUUUCAUC